CAUUAGCAUCAUCCUUGUCAUGAAUAACCAGUCUCUCAUCUGAGAGGAGAAAACAAUCCAAUAUCUUCUGUCCAAGCAACAAUUAAAGAAUACGGAUUGAAUGUUGCCAUAGGAAUGAACUUAUGGCAACAUUUCAUAAGUUAGGGGAAAUUUUUGAAAAAAAGAAAGUGGAUUUAUACAGAUAACUAAUGAUGGAUAAGUAGGUGACACCUCAAAUCCACAUGAUGCUAGUGAAAAAAACUUUAAUCAAUACAAUAACUGGAGAUAACUAUGAUAUUUUAAGAAGAAACUAGCUCCAUAACCAAAAAGAAGAAGCUAACCUCAAAAAACUGGAAACAAAAUAAAACUCUCUAAAGAACUCUUCCAUCCAUGCCAUCUAGAAGACCUGACCAAAUUCCCUUUGCAGGUGGCAACUGUGCAACAAAAGCAUUCCAUGGAGGGUAACCAACACCACUGCCACGGACGCGUCCAUCCAAGCGCAAUGAUAAAUACACAGGAGAUUCAAGGGAGACACCAGCCAGUUUCUUUUGCUCAUCUAACCACUUAGACCACUCGGUAAUAUAGGUUGGAUUCAGCUGCCAGAGCCGCUUCCUUUUUGCCGUAACCUCCUUCAUUUCCUCACUCUCAUCAAACUCAAAACUAGGUAAAUUCCCAUCUGUAGCAAAUGGCACCACAAGCACCCCUCUAUCUAAGAGACUCUGGGUGAAAGCUUCGCUAAGUCUAAAAGACUCCAAAAUAUAGGAUCCAGGGCCAGCACAGAUUACAAGGCGUGCAAUACCUCUCAAAGAGUUGACAGAAAUAAUCCUUUUUCCAUCCACACGGAGCUUAAGAUUUGAAAGGCUUUCCUCUCUUGAAAGCCUAGCCAGUUGUGCUUUCUUGGCAUUAUUCUCCCUGUAAUAUAAGAAUACAAAGAGAGAUACUGCUCCAAUAUCUAUGCCGAGACCUUUCAAUAUGUCUGGGGCUUGAGCUACUCUUGCUGGAUUUGUUAGUGCAGCUAUCAGUUGUGUGGUUGCUAUUAGUCCUCCCAAAGCACCACUUGCAAUAAAAGCUAGAUAAAAAAACAUCCGUACAGAUCGAAAUGGAGAGAGAACUUCACUUCUUAUCUUGGCUGUAGAACUGAAGAACAAAUAAAAGAAUGAUUACAAGGAAGCUUCACUUUUAAAAGAACCUGAUACCAGAAGCAUUGAAUGGAAAAACCAAGUCAGAGAGGAAAUUGAAAAUGACACAUAUUGCAUCUUUUAUUACUUCUAAAUUCCAGCAAGAGGUGAGAAAAUGAAAAAUUGCAUAAGUUUACAUAUAAGAGCAGCAGUUUAUAAUGUCAAACCAUAUAGACCUAUCCUUAAAUGGCAUAGGUAUUGGAGCCAAAAAAGGAAUGGAAGAAAGUCUGCCAUAUAAUCCUUGCAUAACAAUAUUUUCUAGAAUAUAGCAUUAAUUGUUAUAUAUAUUACUAUUACAAACUCUUCACAUCAAUUUGAGUGUCCAGGGCCAACAACCAUGAACUCCCCAGUCAGAAGAAAUAUGGUGGUAAACAAUGCUAACAGCAAACAUUUUAAUAAUAAAGUGGUUGAAACUUGAAUGGUUUGCUACCAUUUCAGGUCAUAUAGUUAAGAAAAGCUUCACAGCGUUCUAUCCAAUAUAUUGUGUAAAAAGGUAAAAUCUCUGGACACCUGACGAUUCACAGGCUGAGAUCCACUAUAUCAAGAGUUUAUUUUCAGCUUUCAUUUCCAACCCCUUGUGUUUCUAAAACCUGAACUGCACCAAAUUACUCUCAAAUGAAGUAUUUUGCAUUCAGUCAUCAAUUAGCUUUAGUUAACGGAGCCAAACCACGUCAGUCAACUUUCCUCAACGUAGCAAAACAUCUCUUUUUGUUACCGAGAAAAGGGCCCAGGUUUUGCAACCGUGAGUCCUUCCUGGGAUUAACUCCAGCAAUAUACCUCUUAAGUUGGUUUGCCCCAAUUACUCUAAUUUCAUCAUUUGAAUAUUUUCUUUAUGAUUUUAGCAUUCACCAAGCUUCAUCCUGAUUACUAUCUCAAAUAAUCACCACUAACUUAGUUUAGAACCACACUGAAAAAGAAACAAAAUUUCCCAUCCAUUCACCUCAAAAUCUAUAAUCCGGCAAGGAUUAAUCAAUAGCUGAAUUUUGAAAUUCUGUUACCAUUUUCAAUUCAUAGACUGAUUUUGCCAUUCGAGAUUGAAUAACAUCAAAGAAAAUAAAGAUGAAUACGAGAGAGAGAAAGGGAACCCACCAACCUGAUUUCAGGAGGGGAAGGCUUAUUAGCGGCAGAACAGGUAAUGGAGGAACAGUUUUGCUUCUUGGUAUGGACCAUAAUGUGAUUUCUAUUAUUACCUAUGCAAGUGAACCAAGUUUGCCUGUGACUGAUAAUUUGACUGCUAAAGCUGAAGUACUUGCAGUUGCUGUUGUGAUAGAAGUCAGCAGGUCCAAUACUAAAAUUGUAGGAAACAUGAGCGAUGAAAGAAGCCAUGGCUGCAAUUUUUGAAAUUGGAAGCAGAAGCAGUCGUUG
rnacentral:misc_RNA from 1 species